AAGACAAUUGUCAUCACAAUCAUUAAUCAUGGAUGAUUUAACACUAACAACAGGUUAUUAUUACUCGUUAACAUAAGCUUUCACAUUGUCAAAAAAUGAAUAUCAUGGGUAAAAGAACUGGGUUAAAUGAUUUUUACAAAGAAACGGUUUUACGAGAUGGCGAUGCUGGACAAACAAUCAAUUAAACAUGUUUAUUAUAAAACAAAAAUACUCAAUGUUGGCUCGGAAUAAGAUUGCUUAUGAUGAGUGUAUGAUGGAGUAGGGAUUGCAUAGGAAUCCUUUGGAGUUGGUGAAUACUUAGGUGCAGGAGUAUAGCCAUAGUAAGCUGGUGAAGCUGUUACUAUAGUUAUCAAGGUAAUUCCGAUGAGUUCCUGUUGUAAUUAAAAGGAAAAGAAUAAAAUAUCAAAUUAAUCCAAGAUGUUUUUGGUGGUAGAAGCUGCGAUGUUAAAGGACAAAUUGAAGAAACCAAAAACUAAUCACUGUAAGUCAUCAAAAAGUCGUUGAAACUUAUGGUCAUUAUUUUCAAUAUUACCUUGAGCAUGAUGGUGAUAGUUUGAUAAACAGUGAUUAAUGGGACACAAAACAGGAAAAUAGACGUAUUUGGUGGAUCACAAUGGUGUUAACGUAAACUAGGAAUACUCGUUGGUUGCUGACUUGAUGGUCAAUGAAAUUCAGUGGUGAUGAUGGUUGUUAAAACAGCAAAAUGGUAACGGAAGGAAGAAGGAAGUAAUACUUCGUACUACGUGAAAAAAACGAAACUGAUCGACAACUGUCCAGUUAGAGAGUUGAAUGUGGUGCUUAUAUAGUGAUGGACAUUGCAUGAUGAAGGAAACCUCCUUACCUGGUGAGGACUCCUCCAGAGUCAUGAUGAUGAAAAAAAACAACACAGUAGAGGGGAAAGUUUUUGGAUGAAAGUUGAAUUGCGAUUAUAAGAAAGCAUUUUAAGCCAGGCAAAGGAGGAGACUCGAGAUAUGCUGAAUAUUUUGAUUAUGAUGAUGAAACAGAUGAAGAAAGUGAAAAGGUCAGAAUGAGGUCAUGUAUUUAAUUGGAAAACUUCACAAUUUAUCGACUAUUGAUGGUUAUUAUUUUGGGGGGUGAUUAAUUGAUAAUGGUUGGUUGACCUGUGUCCAAUUUGGUUCUUUACCUUGCUUCCAAUCCAAAACAAUUACCAAUCAAUUUGGAUAAUAUUUGAUUUACUGGUUCCAUUAUUUUAAACACUCAAGCCUAUGUUGUUGUUGAUGUUGGACAAUUGAAAGUUAAUUGUUGACAAUAGUAGGCACAGCAGGAAUAAGCUGAAUUAAGUGAAUCAAUUCGUGGUCAAGUACAGACUUUAAUUGUUACCAGGACAAUAUGAAUUAUCAAAUUCAAGUUUAAUUCAAUAUUUUCAGUUGACUGUCUUUUAACAGUUUCAUUCAAGUUUCAUUUAAUCCAAUCAAUUUUGCUGUUUGCCUGUAAAGCCACAGAUAAGCGUAAUUGUGCGAAAAUGAAACGAUUUGAAUGUUUAAACGAGUUAACUGUAUUAUAAGUGUUGAUUCAUUGAACAAUUGUUUAAUUGUAUCACAAGCUGAUAAUGAAUUGAUUGAAUGUUUAAUUUACUUGUUUUAGUUUGGACAAAUAACUGAUCAAUGAUUUGAACCAUUUUGUGUAUUGAUUGGUUUAUCAUAAAUCACUUAACAUAAGAAAAUUUAAUUUUCAAUUAAAGAUUAAUCAAAGUUCAGAGUCAAUCAUUGAUAUCAAUAUUAACCAUUUGCAGAUUCAUCUAUGAUAAUGAUAUAAUAAUCAAUGAUUUCCUGGAUGGUAAAGAAAUCGCAAUCAAAAGGAAAAAAUGGAAGUAAAUUCAAGUGAAAACAUUAAGUAAACUGUUACAAUUGAAAUUAAGGAAUAACAUUUGAUUGGAAAAUUUGACGCAUCACUAUCAACACCAUCCUGAUGAUCGUUAUAAUCAUCAUCAUCAGGCAAACUGUUUCACCCUUACCAAUCUCAACAUGAGUUUAAUCGAUUCAAUCGUCAUUUCUUGGUGAAAAAAAACACCAUAACCAUUUCAUCGGUUUACAUUUUUUCCUUGCUCUUGCUGCUUCUUCCUAAACCAGUUUAAAUCAUAAUGAGAUGCUUAACCUGUUGAUCGGUUCGCAGUUAUGGAACGAGCAAAGUAAAUGUACCAAUGCAAUUCAAUUCACACCUACCCAAUCAAGCAAUCAACAGGCAAUGUUAACCAGUGAAACAAAUUGAUCAACUGUAAUCAUCACUUUAUAUCCAUUACUUUUGGUUUAUACAUAUUGGAGCAACAUUAUAAAUCUCACUCAAAGUUAUCCACUAAUUGUAUGGCAAUCAUCGACAAACAUCAUUACCAAUGUUGUCAAACUGGCCUCACUAAUUUACCUCAAAAGUUAAUCAAAACAGAGAGCAAUCAUUGACAGGAUCAAGAGUGGCUUUGAUGGUUAAUGGUCAAUAAUUAUGCUUAUUGUUUAAUCAUAUGCUUUAUCCUCUAAUUGUAAUCUCAAGCUCAUUUUCAACAGAUUUUAGUGUCUUCCAAGUCUCAGGUUUGACAAAAUGUGUUUACUUUGUCAAAUGGUUAAUGAUUUGGUUAACUAAACUGUUGGUUUUUAAUUUUAUUGGUGUUAGCAUUUUUUGCUGUUGUCUCAUCAUUAACUCGAAAAUUAACUCAUAAUUAUUUAAUAUGGUAGCCUCUCAAAUUCAACUGUAUUUCAACCUCUUUUUACACUUUUUUGUUUCAUCUCAUUGUGUUACACUUGUUUUACUCGGCCUUACAAGACUUGUUUAAUAAAUGUAUUUAUAUUUGUUUUUCA